UACGUAGGGUGCGAGCGUUGUCCGGAAUUAUUGGGCGUAAAGAGCUCGUAGGCGGUUUGUUGCGUCGGCCGUGAAAACCUGCAGCUUAACUGUGGGCCUGCGGCCGAUACGGGCAGACUUGAGUUCGGUAGGGGAGACUGGAAUUCCUGGUGUAGCGGUGAAAUGCGCAGAUAUCAGGAGGAACACCGGUGGCGAAGGCGGGUCUCUGGGCCGAUACUGACGCUGAGGAGCGAAGGCGUGGGGAGCGAACGGG
rnacentral:rRNA from 1 species